AUUGAACGCUGGCGGCAGGCCUAACACAUGCACGUCGAACGAGUGGCGGACGGGUGAGUAAUGUCUGGGAAACUGCCUGAUGGAGGGGGAUAACUACUGGAAACGGUAGCUAAUACCGCAUACCAUCGGAUGUGCCCAGAUGGGAUUAGCUAGUAGGUGGGGUAACGGCUCACCUAGGCGACGAUCCCUAGCUGGUGUGAGAGGAUGACCAGCCACACUGGAACGUAGACCCGGUCCAGACUCCUACGUGAGGCAGCAGUGGGGAAGAUUGCACAAUGGGCGCAAGCCUGAUGCAGCCAUGCCGCGUGUAUGAAGAAGGCCUUCGGGUUGUAAAGCACUUUCAGCGGGGAGGCGUUACCCGCAGAAGAAGCACCGGCUAACUCCGUGCCAGCAGCCGCGGUAAUUC
rnacentral:rRNA from 1 species